rnacentral:rRNA from 1 species
UACGAAGGGGGCUAGCGUUGUUCGGAAUCACUGGGCGUAAAGGGCGCGUAGGCGGCCGAUCAAGUCGGGGGUGAAAGCCUGUGGCUCAACCACAGAAUUGCCUUCGAUACUGUUUGGCUUGAGACCGGAAGAGGUUAGUGGAACUGCGAGUGUAGAGGUGAAAUUCGUAGAUAUCGGGAGGAACACCAGUGGCGAAGGCGACUUUCUGGCCUGUUCUUGACGCUGAGGCGCGAAAGCUAGGGGAGCAAGCGGG